CAGUCGCCGCGGGAAUACGUAGGGUGCAAGCGUUAAUCGGAAUUACUGGGCGUAAAGCGUGCGCAGGCGGUUUGUUAAGACAGAUGUGAAAUCCCCGGGCUCAAUCUGGGAACUGCAUUUGUGACUGGCAAGCUAGAGUAUAGCAGAGGGGGGUGGAAUUCCGCGUGUAGCAGUGAAAUGCGUAGAUAUGCGGAGGAACACCGAUGGCGAAGGCAGCCCCCUGGGCCAAUACUGACGCUCAUGCACGAAAGCGUGGGGAGCAAACAGGAUUAGAUACCCCCGUAGUCCCUGUCUCUUAUAC
rnacentral:rRNA from 1 species